GGUUCUGGGGGCGUGUGCAAAUCUAGAAGGCACAGGCCCCAGCAUCCACAGCCCCCACCGGGCCUGGGCGCUGUUUGAACUGGAAGACGUCCUGGUAGUAUCUGGAAGAGCUCCCCACAUUAUAGACCGGGAGACGGAGAUACACAUACGGCGAACCGCCCGAGUUUGAAGAAAUGGAAGAUACACCGAGGGCCCAUCACCUGCCCUUCGUUCCCUGACAACCACUCCCAGGUCUGGGAUCUGGAGGAAAAAAAUCUCUGGGGCCGUCAAGUCAUGAACAGAACCAUCGCCCUUUUUUCAAGGAAGGCCUGACUGAGAGAGCAACUGACCGGCAGACUAUGGCCAUUCAAACCAGCAGCCUUAGACAUAUUUUUCCCGAAAAUGAACAGUGGGCCUGUCACUUGCAGGAAAAAUUCAAACUUUUAAGCAAGAAUUACAAUUUUGGAGAACUUGUACCUGUCAUGUGUUAAAGAAGAUGACCCAUAACCAUCCAGAGAAACUCCGAAGGUGCCUCUCAGCUUCCAGCCACACGUCUGUGUGUGACCAGUUCUGUCUGCUCUGUUAACAGGAGAUGUUUCACCAGAUUGAACACUACGGCAGAUGAGAGUAUCCGAUGAUCUCCCACUAAGCCAGAUGGUAAACGGAUUUUGAAAAUGUCAAACAAGCUGCAUCUUCUCACUACUUUUUAUU